rnacentral:piRNA from 1 species
UGCAAUCUUUCUAUGUGUCUCAUGGAACUC